CCGAGAUGCACCCAAAGCCUAUCAGCCACAGAUCCAUACCACAAAAGAUGAAAACAUUUUUAAGAAAGAGAUUAAAAAGGAGGGAAAGCAGACAUGAUAUCGCUGGGCAACAGAGAAGCUGGGUGGGAGGGGACCCACAGGCCAACAGCCUCAGCUGCAAACAAUCAAUGUCAGUGAUGAAUGGUGUUACAAAGGGUCAUCAUUACCCUCAGGGAUGGGGACAGCAUGAGAUGAUAAUGAAUAUGUUUGGGGAAGAAUAAUAUAACCUCAUCUGGUAUGGAUGGGUGGCAUCAGCAUCUAGGCUGCUGGAUGGAAGAACAUGUUGACAUUAUUUAUAGCUAUAAUGCAGAGCUAUGACAGAGAUCCAUUGUAAACAAUGCCUUCCAAGGCAGCUGCUUUCCAUUAAAAAAUAUAUAACAGAAAAGAGUUUGCAAAGGGUGGCUUAGCAUGGCGGCAUUAAAGAGGGCUGUCAUCUUUGCUAAAUCUGGG
rnacentral:lncRNA from 1 species